AUGUACUGUUGGCCUUUGU
rnacentral:piRNA from 1 species